rnacentral:rRNA from 1 species
ACUCUGAGACGUGAUACCGAGCCGCUUCAGGCGAAGUCAUUGAUCCUAUGCUGCCUAGAAAAGCCCAGCAGCGAGUUGACAUGGUGCCCGUACCCCAAACCAACACAGGUGGACAGGUAGAGCAUACCAAGGCGAGUGGGAUAACUAUGGUUAAGGAACUCGGCAAAUUGCCUCCGUAACUUCGGGAGAAGGAGGACCCCAGUAGCGUGAUGAGACUUGCUCUCUGAGCGUGAAGGGGUGGCACAAAAUUGAGGGAAGCGACUGUUUACCAAAAACACAGCAGCGUGCUAAGCCGUAAGGCGCUGUAUACGCUGUGACUCCUGCCCGGUGCUGGAAGGUUACGGGGAUGGGUUAGUCCUUCGGGACGAAGCUCUGAACCUAAGCCCCAGUAAACGGCGGCCGUAACUAUAACGGUCCUAAGGUAGCGAAAUUCCUUGUCGGGUAAGUUCCGACCUGCACGAAUGGAGUAACGACUUCCCUACUGUCUCAACCAUAGACCCAGCGAAAUUGAAGUACGAGUAAAGAUGCUCGUUAGCUGCAGAAGGACGGAAAGACCCCGUGGACCUUUACUAUAACUUGAUGUUGUGUUUUGUCAUAUGUUGUGUAGGAUAGGUGGGAGACUUGGAAGCAUGGACGCUAGUCUGUGUGGAGUCAUCGUUGAAAUACCACCCUGCAUAUGGUGAGGCUCUAACCUAGACCCGUUAUCCGGGUUGGGGACAGCGUCAGGCGGGUAGUUUAACUGGGGCGGUUGCCUCCUAAAGAGUAACGGAGGCGCCCAAAGGUUCCCUCAGCCUGGUUGGCAAUCAGGCGUUGAGUGCAAUGGCAAAAGGGAGCUUGACUGCGAGACCUACAAGUCGAGCAGGAGCGAAAGCUGGGCAUAGUGAUCCGGCGGUUGCGUGUGGAAGCGCCGUCGCUCAACGGAUAAAAGGUACCCCGGGGAUAACAGGCUAAUCUUGCCCAAGCGUCCAUAGCGACGGCAAGGUUUGGCACCUCGAUGUCGGCUCAUCGCAUCCUGGGGCUGAAGCAGGUCCCAAGGGUUGGGCUGUUCGCCCAUUAAAGCGGUACGCGAGCUGGGUUCAGAACGUCGUGAGACAGUUCGGUCCCUAUCCUCUGCAGCCGGAGGUGAAUUGAGGAAAGCUGUCCCUAGUACGAGAGGACCGGGACGGACGCAGCUCUCGUGUGCCAGUUGUCCUGCCAAGGGCAUGGCUGGUUAGCGACCUGCGGAAAGGAUAACCGCUGAAAGCAUCUAAGCGGGAAGCCUCUUCCAAGAUGAAUUCACCCACAGGGUUAACCUGGUAAGGCCCGUGGUAGACCACCACGUUGAUAGGCCGGAAGUGUAAGCGUGGCAACACGUUCAGCUGACCGGUACUAAUCGGCCGAGGGCUUGAGUG